UAGCUAGUUGGUGAGGUAAAGGCUUACCAAGGCGACGAUCUGUAGCGGGUCUGAGAGGAUGAUCCGCCACACUGGAACUGAGACACGGUCCAGACUCCUACGGGAGGCAGCAGUGGGGAAUUUUGGACAAUGGGGGCAACCCUGAUCCAGCCAUGCCGCGUGAGUGAAGAAGGCCUUCGGGUUGUAAAGCUCUUUCGGCCGGGAAGAAAUCGCAUGGGCCAAUACCCUGUGUGGAUGACGGUACCGGAAUAAGAAGCACCGGCUAACUACGUGCCAGCAGCCGCGGUAAUACGUAGGGUGCGAGCGUUAAUCGGAAUUACUGGGCGUAAAGCGUGCGCAGGCGGUUUUGUAAGACAGGCGUGAAAUCCCCGGGCUUAACCUGGGAACUGCGUUUGUGACUGCAAGGCUAGAGUACGGCAGAGGGGGGUGGUAUUCCACGUGUAGCAGUGAAAUGCGUAGAGAUGUGGAGGAACACCAAUGGCGAAGGCAGCCCCCUGGGUCGAUACUGACGCUCAUGCACGAAAGCGUGGGUAGCAAACAGGAUUAGAUACCCUGGUAGUCCACGCCCUAAACUAUGUCAACUAGGUGUUGGGUGGGUAAAACCAUUUAGUACCGUAGCUAACGCGUGAAGUUGACCGCCUGGGGAGUACGGCCGCAAGGUUAAAACUCAAAGGAAUUGACGGGGACCCGCACAAGCGGUGGAUGAUGUGGAUUAAUUCGAUGCAACGCGAAAAACCUUACCUACCCUUGACAUGCCAGGAACUUGCCAGUGAUGGCUUGGUGCCCGAAAGGGAGCCUGGACACAGGUGCUGCAUGGCUGUCGUCAGCUCGUGUCGUGAGAUGUUGGGUUAAGUCCCGCAACGAGCGCAACCCUUGUCGUUAAUUGCCAUCAUUUAGUUGGGCACUUUAACGAGACUGCCGGUGACAAACCGGAGGAAGGUGGGGAUGACGUCAAGUCCUCAUGGCCCUUAUGGGUAGGGCUUCACACGUCAUACAAUGGUCGGUACAAAGGGUUGCCAAGCCGCGAGGCGGAGCUAAUCCCAGAAAGCCGAUCGUAGUCCGGAUUGCAGGCUGCAACUCGCCUGCAUGAAGUCGGAAUCGCUAGUAAUCGUGGAUCAGCAUGUCACGGUGAAUACGUUCCCGGGUCUUGUACACACCGCCCGUCACACCAUGGGAGCGGGUUCCGCCAGAAGUAGGUAGCCUAACCGCAAGGGGGGCGCUUACCACGGCGGGGUUCGUGACUGGGGUGAAGUCGUAACAAGGUAGCCGUAGGGGACCUGCGGCUG
rnacentral:rRNA from 1 species